rnacentral:lncRNA from 1 species
CUAGCUCUUCAAAGCUGACCUCAUAAUGGAGGUUAAAGAAAAGAAGAAACGAUUUCUGUUUUCUCCAUGAAAAAGUGUCUCUAUGGGACGAGAGCUGCACAUUGCUGGGACAUGAAGGAGCAUGUUGCAGAAUGAAACCAGGCUGUUGCACGAAGGAGCCAGCAAUGGUGAUGGAAUUGCUGAGUGUCUGGAAGGAAUAGGUAUGCCUGUACUGAUGGGAGUCAUGGAGUUGCUGGGUUUAAAAGGAAAGUUUGCUGACAGCUACCAUCAAGUUGUGCAUGUGCAGUGGUGGAGAGUUUGUGGAAGCCUGUCACAUCAGGACCUGCAAAGCUAUGGCUGUAUUUCAAUGUUGGAGCCAACACCCAAAAGGAUGUCACCCAGCUUCCACUGAAGUCAGGGGAAAGACUCUCUCUGAAUUCAGCUGCCUUUGGAUCUGCUCUGGGUGCAGAGUGCUG